GAUGAACGCUGGCGGCGUGCCUAACACAUGCAAGUCGAGCGAUCUUCUUCGGAAGAGAGCGGCGGACGGGUGAGUAACGCGUGGGUAACCUGCCCUGUACACACGGAUAACAUACCGAAAGGUAUGCUAAUACGGGAUAACAUAAGAGAGUCGCAUGGCUAUCUUAUCAAAGCUUUUGCGGUACAGGAUGGACCCGCGUCUGAUUAGCUAGUUGGUAAGGUAACGGCUUACCAAGGCGACGAUUAGUAGCCGACCUGAGAGGGUGAUCGGCCACAUUGGAACUGAGACACGGUCCAAACUCCUACGGGAGGCAGCAGUGGGGAAUAUUGCACAAUGGGCGAAAGCCUGAUGCAGCAACGCCGCGUGAGCGAUGAAGGCCUUCGGGUCGUAAAGCUCUGUCCUCAAGGAAGAUAAUGACGGUACUUGAGGAGGAAGCCCCGGCUAACUACGUGCCAGCAGCCGCGGUAAUACGUAGGGGGCUAGCGUUAUCCGGAAUUACUGGGCGUAAAGGGUGCGUAGGCGGUCUUUCAAGUCAGAAGUGAAAGGCUACGGCUCAACCGUAGUAAGCUUUUGAAACUGUAAGACUUGAGUGCAGGAGAGGAGAGUGGAAUUCCUAGUGAAGCGGUGAAAUGCGUAGAUAUUAGGAGGAACACCAGUUGCGAAGGCGGCUCUCUGGACUGUAACUGACGCUGAGG
rnacentral:rRNA from 1 species